CGAAGUUUCCCUCAGGAUAGCUGGAGCCCUUAGCGAGUUCUAUCGGGUAAAGCCAAUGAUUAGAGGCAUCGGGGGCCCAACGCCCUCGACCUAUUCUCAAACUUUAAAUAGGUAGGACGGUGCGGCUGCUUCGUUGAGCUGCGCCACAGAAUCGAGAGCUCCAAGUGGGUCAUUUUUGGUAAGCAGAACUGGCAAUGCAAGAUGAACCGGAAGCCGGGUUACGGUGCUCAACUACGCGCUAACCUAGAACCCACAAAGGGUGUUGGUCGAUUAAGACAGUAGGACGGUGGUCAUGGAAGUCGAAAUCCGCUAAGGAGUGUGUAACAACUCACCUGCCGAAUCAACUAGCCCCGAAAAUGGAUGGCGCUUAAGUGCGCGACCUAUACCCGGCCGUCGGUGCAG
rnacentral:ncRNA from 1 species